AAUUGCCUGCUCAGCAAAGGACACCUACCCCAUCUUGUUAAAAUAACCCCCUGCCUCUUUCCAUGACACAUAUGGCCUACAGCCUGUGCAGCCUGUGAACUCAGUUCAGAAGAGCUCACGCUUUCACUUUUCAGUAAGAUCUCACGAUUUGGUUGUUCACCCAAGCAGCUCGUGACGACAGACAGGUGCUGUCGAGGGGUGAGCUUUCCACUAAUUGAGAUGCCAGCAUGACUGACAUCUUUAUGUGGCGUCCAGGGAUGCAACUCAGGCCCUUGUGUUUGUGUAGUACUUCACCAGCUGAGCUCUCUCCCUGUCCUUUCCCGAGCUUCUGCAGGAAGUGAACGCCAUAAAUAAUAAAAGCAAA